UGAUGUAACUUUUGAAACUAUUAUAAUGUUCACGACAGGAUCAAAAUCAAUACCACCUUUUGGGUUUGAUCCUAGCCCACCAGUCACCUUCUGGAAGGAACGAUUUCCGAAGGCAACAACAUGUACCAACACUCAUGUUCUGCCAACACUAUGUACCAGUUACGACUCAUUUGUGCAAAACAUGAAGUUCGGUAUUUUUAAUACACAAGGCUUCAUGUUGGAGUGAAUUUAAAAGUUAUAAUUGUAUGUGUGCAUGACUUGGUAUGUAUGUUGUUUUUUUUUUGGUU
rnacentral:lncRNA from 1 species